CUGCGGCAGCGACACUUUAGUGUUGUUGGGUAGGGGAGCGUUCUGUAAGCCGUCGAAGGUGUCCUGUGAGGGGUGCUGGAGGUAUCAGAAGUGCGAAUGCUGACAUAAGUAACGAUAAAGCGGGUGAAAAGCCCGCUCGCCGGAAGACCAAGGGUUCCUGUCCAACGUUAAUCGGGGCAGGGUGAGUCGACCCCUAAGGCGAGGCCGAAAGGCGUAGUCGAUGGGAAACGGGUUAAUAUUCCCGUACUUGGUGUUACUGCGAAGGGGGGACGGAGAAGGCUAUGUUGGCCGGGCGACGGUAGUCCCGGUUUAAGCGUGUAGGCUGGUUUUCCAGGCAAAUCCGGAAAAUCAAGGCUGAGGCGUGAUGACGAGGCACCACGGUGCUGAAGCAACAAAUGCCCUGCUUCCAGGAAAAGCCUCUAAGCAUCAGGUAACAUCAAAUCGUACCCCAAACCGACACAGGUGGUCAGGUAGAGAAUACCAAGGCGCUUGAGAGAACUCGGGUGAAGGAACUAGGCAAAAUGGUGCCGUAACUUCGGGAGAAGGCACGCUGACACGUAGGUGAAGUGAUUUACUCAUGGAGCUGAAGUCAGUCGAAGAUACCAGCUGGCUGCAACUGUUUAUUAAAAACACAGCACUGUGCAAACACGAAAGUGGACGUAUACGGUGUGACGCCUGCCCGGUGCCGGAAGGUUAAUUGAUGGGGUCAGCGCAAGCGAAGCUCCUGAUCGAAGCCCCGGUAAACGGCGGCCGUAACUAUAACGGUCCUAAGGUAGCGAAAUUCCUUGUCGGGUAAGUUCCGACCUGCACGAAUGGCGUAAUGAUGGCCAGGCUGUCUCCACCCGAGACUCAGUGAAAUUGAACUCGCUGUGAAGAUGCAGUGUACCCGCGGCAAGACGGAAAGACCCCGUGAACCUUUACUAUAGCUUGACACUGAACAUUGAGCCUUGAUGUGUAGGAUAGGUGGGAGGCUUUGAAGCGUGGACGCCAGUCUGCGUGGAGCCGACCUUGAAAUACCACCCUUUAAUGUUUGAUGUUCUAACGUGGACCCGUGAUCCGGGUUGCGGACAGUGUCUGGUGGGUAGUUUGACUGGGGCGGUCUCCUCCUAAAGAGUAACGGAGGAGCACGAAGGUUGGCUAAUCCUGGUCGGACAUCAGGAGGUUAGUGCAAUGGCAUAAGCCAGCUUGACUGCGAGCGUGACGGCGCGAGCAGGUGCGAAAGCAGGUCAUAGUGAUCCGGUGGUUCUGAAUGGAAGGGCCAUCGCUCAACGGAUAAAAGGUACUCCGGGGAUAACAGGCUGAUACCGCCCAAGAGUUCAUAUCGACGGCGGUGUUUGGCACCUCGAUGUCGGCUCAUCACAUCCUGGGGCUGAAGUAGGUCCCAAGGGUAUGGCUGUUCGCCAUUUAAAGUGGUACGCGAGCUGGGUUUAGAACGUCGUGAGACAGUUCGGUCCCUAUCUGCCGUGGGCGCUGGAAGACUGAGGGGGGCUGCUCCUAGUACGAGAGGACCGGAGUGGACGCAUCACUGGUGUUCGGGUUGUCAUGCCAAUGGCACUGCCCGGUAGCUAAAUGCGGAAAAGAUAAGUGCUGAAAGCAUCUAAGCACGAAACUUGCCCCGAGAUGAGUCUUCCCUGAGACUUUGAGUCUCCUGAAGGAACGUUAAAGACGAUGACGUUGAUAGGCCGGGUGUGUAAGCGCAGCGAUGCGUUGAGCUAACCGGUACUAAUGAACCGUGAGGCUUAACCUUACAA
rnacentral:rRNA from 1 species